UACGGAGGGAGCUAGCGUUGUUCGGAAUUACUGGGCGUAAAGCGCACGUAGGCGGCUUUGUAAGUUAGAGGUGAAAGCCCGGGGCUCAACUCCGGAACUGCCUUUAAGACUGCAUCGCUUGAAUCCAGGAGAGGUGAGUGGAAUUCCGAGUGUAGAGGUGAAAUUCGUAGAUAUUAGGAAGAACACCAGUGGCGAAGGCGGCUCACUGGUCCGGUACUGACGCUGAGGUGCGAAAGCGUGGGGAGCAAACAGG
rnacentral:rRNA from 1 species